rnacentral:rRNA from 1 species
GAUGAACGCUGGCGGCGUGCUUAACACAUGCAAGUCGAGCGAAGCACUUUACUUUGAUUUCUUCGGAAUGAAGAGUGAUUUGACUGAGCGGCGGACGGGUGAGUAACGCGUGGGCAACCUGCCUCAUACAGGGGGAUAACAGUUAGAAAUGACUGCUAAUACCGCAUAAGACCACAGUACCGCAUGGUACAGGGGUAAAAACUCCGGUGGUGUGAGAUGGACCCGCGUCUGAUUAGCUGGUUGGUGGGGUAACGGCCUACCAAGGCGACGAUCAGUAGCCGGCCUGAGAGGGCGACCGGCCACAUUGGGACUGAGACACGGGCCCAAACUCCUACGGGAGGCAGCCAGUGGGGAAUAUUGCACAAUGGGGACGAAAGCCUAGAUGCAGCGACGCCGCGUGAGCGAUGAAGUA